rnacentral:lncRNA from 1 species
AUUUCGUUUGUUGCUUAAUUCUUCUUACAUACUUCCACCUAUACUUUUUUCUCUCUAAAUCAUUAUCACAUGUAUUAGCUAUUAAUUCUUCAACUAUUGGAAUCUGGUCCUUGAUGGAUAAUUCUUGAUAAAUUGCACAUGAUGGCCCUAACUUAAACAACUCCUGCACGUAGUUUUGGUAAAACUAUUUCUCCUAACACAGUUACAGCAAAGUCUCAUUCACUAUAUGAAUAACAGUACUGGAGAUGCUCUCUGCCAUGGCCAUAAAGACAGAACUAAUGUUUGUAGCAAGAUCUUUUGUUAAUAAUCCCUCGCACUCAUAUAUUGAAUUUGCAUGUAAGAGAGCAUUGGUAAAUUCACCUCUAAACUCAUUCCAACAUGUUUCUUCUAGUGAUUCUCUCUCGACAGUCUUAUUUGUUGAAAGUUAUUCUGCCAUUUUUGCUUGUAUGAUGUUUACAAUAUUAAAUCUGUAC